rnacentral:lncRNA from 1 species
CAGGACGCGCGAUGACGCCGCGUCAACCUGAGAUGGCGCGAUCGGCCCCGAGCGGACGAGUAUUUGCCGCUCAGGUCCAGGCCGAGGAACCUGCGGAGGCGGAGGAGCAUCGCCUUGUGGCAGGUAUGGUUUUAAUUAACGGAGUUCGCUCCAGGGCUUUAUUUGAUACAGGAGCCACGCAUUCAUUCAUAAGUAGAUCAUUCGCACGCAUGCAUGGCAUACAUAUAGAAGCGAGUGACAAGUGGCGAGUAGAGGGCCCUGGGUCGACAUUUAAUACCUACUCGGAGUGCGCC